GUGCCAGCCGCCGCGGUAAUACGGAGGAUGCAGGCGUUAUCCGGAUUUAUUAGGUUUAAAGGGUGCGCAGGCGGCCCGGUAAGUCAGCGGUGAAAGUUUGCAGCUCAACUGUAAAAUUGCCAUUGAUACUGCCGGGCUUGAAUACGGUAGAGGUAGGCGGAAUGUGUAGUGUAGCGGUGAAAUGCUUAGAUAUUACACAGAACACCGAUUGCGAAGGCAGCUUACUAUGCCGCGAUUGACGCUCAGGCACGAAAGCGUGGGUAGCGAACAGGAUUAGAUACCCUGGUAGUCCACGCCGUAAACGAUGAUUACUGGUUGUGCGCGAUAUACAGUGCGCGACUGAGGGAAACCAUUAAGUAAUCCACCUGGGGAGUACGUUCGCAAGAAUGAAACUCAAAGGAAUUGACGGGGGCCCGCACAAGCGGAGGAACAUGUGGUUUAAUUCGAUGAUACGCGAGGAACCUUACCUGGGCUUAAAUGUAGAGUGCAUUAGGUGGAAACACCUAUUCCCUUCGGGGCUUUCUACAAGGUGCUGCAUGGUUGUCGUCAGCUCGUGCCGUGAGGUGUCGGGUUAAGUCCCAUAACGAGCGCAACCCCUAUCGUUAGUUGCCAGCGGGUAAUGCCGGGGACUCUAGCGAAACUGCCGGUGUAAACCGAGAGGAAGGUGGGGAUGACGUCAAAUCAGCACGGCCCUUAUGUCCAGGGCUACACACGUGUUACAAUGGCCAGUACAAUGGGCAGCUACCGGGGCGACCGGAUGCCAAUCUCCNAAAGCUGGUCUCAGUUCGGAUCGGAGUCUGCAACUCGACUCCGUGAAGUUGGAUUCGCUAGUAAUCGUAUAUCAGCAAUGAUACGGUGAAUACGUUCCCGGGCCUUGUACACACCGCCCGUCAAGCCAUGGAAGCUGGGGGUACCUGAAGUGCGUAACCGCGAGGAGCGCCCUAGGGUAAAACUAGUGACUGGGGCUAAGUCGUAACAAGGUAACC
rnacentral:rRNA from 1 species